UAGGGAAUCUUCCACAAUGGACGCAAGUCUGAUGGAGCAACGCCGCGUGAGUGAAGAAGGGUUUCGGCUCGUAAAACUCUGUUGUUAAAGAAGAACAUAUCUGAGAGUAACUGUUCAGGUAUUGACGGUAUUUAACCGGAAAGCCACGGCUAACUACGUGCAAG
rnacentral:rRNA from 1 species